rnacentral:rRNA from 1 species
CUGAAACCGUGUACGUACAAGCAGUGGGAGCACGCUUAGGCGUGUGACUGCGUACCUUUUGUAUAAUGGGUCAGCGACUUAUAUUCUGUAGCAAGGUUAACCGAAUAGGGGAGCCGAAGGGAAACCGAGUCUUAACUGGGCGUUAAGUUGCAGGGUAUAGACCCGAAACCCGGUGAUCUAGCCAUGGGCAGGUUGAAGGUUGGGUAACACUAACUGGAGGACCGAACCGACUAAUGUUGAAAAAUUAGCGGAUGACUUGUGGCUGGGGGUGAAAGGCCAAUCAAACCGGGAGAUAGCUGGUUCUCCCCGAAAGCUAUUUAGGUAGCGCCUCGUGAAUUCAUCUCCGGGGGUAGAGCACUGUUUCGGCAAGGGGGUCAUCCCGACUUACCAACCCGAUGCAAACUGCGAAUACCGGAGAAUGUUAUCACGGGAGACACACGGCG